GGGUGGGGGGUGGGGAGGCGGGGGGAUCCACACAUGACACACAUGUAUAUAUAAAGCCUACUUGGAUGGUAGGUGUGAGAGCUUGGAAAUUGGUAUCAGUUACUGUAUAAGGUGGGAUCUUCUAGCAAUAGGAUUCUGCUGUUAUUGUCACUUUAAUGGUUGGACAGGGAUGGAAUUUUGGUGGAAAAAAAAGAAAGAUACUGGAAGAGGAAUUAUGGAGAAUAGGGGAGGCAAGGGUCGAUAUUGGGAAAGUACAGGCUUCCUCUUUGUUUUGCAUUCUUGAAUUUAUUGGAAUUGUGUUACUUGAGUUUGAACUGGUGAUGAGAUUCCUGAUUUAGAAGGGUUUUGUAUUCUGGCUUGAAUUAGGUUGGAUAGAAUUAAAUUCUUAUUUUAACACAUUUCGAACCAUGGAAUGAAGUGGAAUGGGAAACUUAUGUCCAUAUUGUUGUCUUCUUACAUCCAAUCGAAAAGGGUCAAAUUUUUUUGCCCCCCC
rnacentral:lncRNA from 1 species